CCGGCACAGGGAAUGGCACUGGAAGAAUUCACGGGCUUUUAAAAGACUUGCCCGUGUUCUCUUAGUGGCAUCACUGGUGCAGG
rnacentral:pre_miRNA from 1 species